UUGAAGAUUUGAUGAAUUUUGAAACUGACCACAAAAUGGUCGGUAUAACGGCUUCUCCGAUUCAAUCGUUUCGAGUUACCAUGACCGUAGAUUAGCCUCUCUUGAGAAAUUAUAAAAUCAAAUCAUAAACCUCCUCGUUUUGGCCUUCCAUUCCAAUUCUCUUUGCAUCUCUACCAACAGUUUGCGGUGGAGAUAUGUCGGCUAAACAUUUCUGAGGCAGGAAUCACGUCUUUCUUGCAUAUGAUAUUGCAAAAUCUAAAUGGGGCUGCCUAUAAUUAAAGUGGUAUCACCAUGCGGCUGGCAUUGCUAAAUAAAAAAGUCUCAUUGCUUGUAUAAUUAUAUGAAAUUUGGACUGUGAUGGAAGGUCUCCUCAUCUUCUGGUAUCUUGAAAGAUAGAUACUGUUCAUAGAAUUUCUUGAAAAUUGGACUCUAAAGGAAAGCAAACACUUAGAUUUUGAAUCAAAUGUGAGAAUGGGGAGAGCAAAAUUAAAACUGCAUAAGUUGGAUGGUAGCAACCGGAUAGGAGUAUACUCGAGGCGAAAGAAGGGACUCUUGAAGAAAGCUAAUGAGCUGUCAGUAUUGUGUGACAUUGACAUCUUUCUUGCCAUGUUUUCACCAGGUGGAAAGCCUAGUGUAUACAAGUCAGAUAACAGUAGCUUUGAGGACAUGAUUACCAAGUUUGCCGAAGUAAAUCCAGAAGAAAGGGCAAAAAGGAAGAUGGAGUGUCUUGAUACGAUAAAGAAAGCUUGCAAGAAGUCUGAUCAUGAUGUAGACAUAGGACAGCAGCUUUGUCCUGGGGAUUUGACAACGGAGGAUAUCACUUUUCUCUCACAUUCAUUAAGAAUUCGACUUUCAGACAUUGAGGGUAGAGUCAGGCUAUGGAAGAAUCUUGAAAAGAUUGACAGCAUUCAACAACUUAGGACAAUGGAGGACUCAAUAUCAAAAUCUCUUAACGAAAUCGCGAAACAUAAGUGUGGGAUGGGUUCAUUAAUUUUUGGUGCUGGGCAAGAUUUUCAGCCUUCUUCAGUCCGACAUGGGAUGGAUUCACCUUUGAACUCUGAUGCUAGGAAAGAGUUCCAUCCAUGUUCAUCAGUCCAUGCUUGUGAUAGUGAAAAUAUUGAUGUAUAUGAAGACAUGAAUUCAUUCGAUUCAUCUUUACAUUGUGAUACUGGGCAAGAUUUCCAGGCUUCUUCACUGAUGCAUCAUGGGAUGAAUUUGGGGCAAGAGCUCUAUCAAUGUUCAUCAGUCCACGGUGAAAAUAUGGAUGUAUACGAGGACUUAAAUUCAUUUCCACUAGAGUAUUUGGAGGAACCAUCUUUUUCUUUUGAGAGCUACACAAAUCUUGUUUGCAGCAAAGAAAUUGAAGUCUCUAUGCCAGAAUCCGUAAAUUUUGUACCUGGUGAAAUAUUUCUGGAUUGUGAAGUAAAUCAGGAAGAUAUUGUAACAGAAUUUGGAUUUACCUUUGAUGUGCCACAACAAGAACAGACGGAUGACCAGGGAAAUGAUUUUGACUGUAGCAUCAACAAGGGUUCCAGACUUCCUCAUUCUGAUCUUGUUAACAUCCACGAUAGUUCAAAAUCAGCAUCUGGUACUUGUGAAAAUAUGAUAUUAGCCGAAUCUCUACACUUUCUGUAUGGGAUGGAUUCAUCAAGUUCCGAUGCUGGAGAAGAGUUUUCAACUUCUUCCUCAAUCAAGCAUGGGAUAAAUUUAUCUUCAACCCAACUCGAUGCAGGCUUAUCUGUCAAUGGUGGUGAUAGUGAAAAUAUGGACAAUUACAAGGAUCUUAUUGCAUUUGAUGAUUCGUGUUUAAAAUUUGAGGAUGAGCAAGAAUUUCAGUCUUCAUCAUCAAUUGGCCAGUAUAGUAUGAAUUCACCUGUAAGUUUUGAUGCUGGGCAAGAGCUGCAUCGAUCUUCAUCUGUCAACGGAGGUGAUAGUGAAAGUAUUAAUGGAUACGAGGACCUAAAUUUGUUUGUACAAGGGUUCUUGGACGAUCCACCUUUAUCAAUGGAGAGCUGUACGGAUCUUGCUGGCAACCAUGAAGUUGAAAAUUAUAAGCCGGGAUAUGAAAAUUGCUCAGAGGAUAAAAUGUUUCUGGAUUGUCAAUUAAAUCAGGAAAAUAUUGAAAUGGCAUUCAAAUCUAAUAUUGAUUUUGCCACUGGUAGAGCAAAUGGAUGACGUCCAGGAAAACACUUUUGACUGUCUCAACAAAGGUUUUGGAUUUCCACUAUUAACAUCCAUCCUAGUGUAACUUGUGACAAUAUGACUAUCUCAACUUUCCUGGGGGUAUCGCAUUGGGGUUAUUCGAUCCCAGAUCACAUGGUGAAGGAUGAUGGGCUCACUCCUUACUUCUUGAGAUAUUCAUUUUGUUCUAUUGUUGGCAAAAGAUCCAUACAUGGGGAACUAGUGGUCUUUAAAGUGGUUCUACUUGAGGAAUGAUCUCUUAUUAGAAUAUAUGUCUUCUCCAACAUCAUGUCUAAAUUGCUGGUGUUAAUAUUUUGAAGGGGAUAAUGCACGUCUCUAAAACAUGCAGUUAAGUAUUAAUUUUCCCUCCCAUGUGCCGUCUCAAUAUGUACAGGGAUAGAAUAAAGCAGGUUGAAGACAACUUAAUCAUUUGUGGAAUACGAAAAGAAUUAUUUAUGGAAUACGAGUAUCAAGAGGAUAUUAGAAUCGUCAACUACUUCGCAUUCAUGUACAAUUUUGUUAGUUGUUUGCGUAUAUCAAACAUGAACAGCGUUAGUAUU